CUUGAGGGAGCCGAUGAGUACGGGCCGGUCCUCGGGGCGCUGUUGGCCAUAAGUGGCGAGGAGGGCCUGGGCCUC
rnacentral:antisense_RNA from 1 species